UUCAUUGUCAUCGUCAUCAUUAUUAUCUUCACCACCACCAUCAUCAGCAUUACCAAUAAUACACACUGAUGAUGGUUGGUUUCCGAAACAUGUUCCAACAUUUGCAGAGUGCAGAAUCCUGAUGAGAGCUGUUUCACUGUUUUGGACUGCAGCCAACAAGAUGCAGUCUAGUCCGCAAUAAAAGGGGCUGUGAGAUGGACCAGUACACCGGGGUAUACCGCAACUCGCACAUGAGUUAGUUGCAUACAAUGGCCCAAGACGAAUUGUUAAUCACCAGAACCAUAGGUCUCUUGCGUUUUCCAUGGAUACGAAGACUUGUUCGUACGCGGCUUCUUUUGAUCAUUGGAGAAAGAGCAGCAGUGCUUGCAGUCUUCAUCAACGAAGCUGAAUUCCUUUUGAGCAAAGAGAUGGUGCCUUUA